rnacentral:rRNA from 1 species
GGAAUUUUGCACAAUGGGCGCAAGCCUGAUGCAGCGACGCCGCGUGGGGGAUGAAUGCCUUCGGGUUGUAAACCCCUUUCAGGAGGGACGAAGCGAAAGUGACGGUACCUCCAGAGGAAGCCCCGGCCAACUACGUGCCAGCAGCCGCGGUAAAACGUAGGGGGCGAGCGUUGUCCGGAUUUAUUGGGCGUAAAGAGCUCGUAGGCGGCUCAACAAGUCGGCCGUGAAAGCCUGAGGCUCAACCUCAGGACGCCGGUCGAAACUGUUGUGGCUAGGGUUCGGUAGAGGAGAGUGGAAUUCCCGGUGUAGCGGUGAAAUGCGCAGAUAUCGGGAGGAACACCAGUAGCGAAGGCGGCUCUCUGGGCCGACACCGACGCUGAGGAGCGAAAGCUAGGGGAGCAAAC